GAAUUUUAUAUAUUAAAUAAAUAAUAUAGAAUUUAUUUAUAUAUUUUGUUGGGAGGAUGUUUAAAUUAAUAAAACUUUAAUUAUAGAAUUACAUUAAUUAAUGAUUAAUAAUGAAUGAAUAAAAUUUUAUUAAGAAUUAAUUACCUUAGGGAUAACAGCAUAAUAUUUUUUUGUAGUUCAUAUAUAAAAAAAUGAUUAU
rnacentral:rRNA from 1 species